GCUCUCUUGUCUUAUCUCUUUGCAGGCUUGUUGAUUGGUGCUGGCUGUGCCCUCUACCCCUUGGGCUGGGACAGUGAGGAAGUCCGGCAGACUUGUGGCUACAUUUCUGGCCAGUUUGACCUGGGUAUGUUCUCUUCAUGAAUGGCACUUCUUUUACAAAAAGAACCUCACGUGAUAUUUCCUAGAAGCAGAAGGUGGAAAAAUAAUGGAGAAGGAAACUAUAUUGCAGCUGGUAGUCAUGUGUGACGAUAUAUGUACACUCUUUUAUCCAUUUGUUUAGUGAUAAUCUACUGUUUGUCCAGCACAAUGAUUUGUACUGUAGAUGCAAGGAUAAGAAAUGGCCCUGCUUUCAAGAGUUUAAUAUUCAUUGAUCAAUUCAUUCAAAAUCACGUAUUUACUCAUGGGCUGAGAACAACUGUGGAAUUUGCAGUCUAGCUGAGAAGACAAAGCAAACAGAACAAUCAAGGAAAUGACAAUGAGGGCAGAGGAAUCCGAAGCAAUUUCAGUUCAAGGUAAUAGACCACUUUCUGAAAGAGGCGAGAAUGGAGACAGGUCUUGGACAGGGUGAGUCUGUGGCUUCUCAGGAGUAGACAGAGCACUUAGCAGUUAAACAAAGGAACAGUACAGCAAAGGGACACACACUGAGGAAGGGCACCUCAUCGAUUUGCUUUUCUGUGUAUUGAGAAAAUUUUAGGUAUUUUCCAACUGUAGCUAUAGAGUCUCUUACUGGGCGACCUAUCAAAAAUUUUCACAGUGCCAUAUACUGUGCAUCAUUUUAAUUUGUAAUAGUUGGGUAACGUUUCACUUCAUUGAUUAACCUACACUUACUUAAUUGUUACAGAUGUCCUAGGCCAGAGGGGGUCUUGAUUUCAGGGAGUCCCUGUAGAUCAGAUCUGGGCACUCACUCCAAAAAUCAAAUGGAAAAGAUGGAAAGCAGGGAAGGAAUUUUUUCAGUAUAUCCAUACUGGGGAAACAAGGGGAGACCAAAUGUCCUCAGCCCAGUCUUCUGGGGGUACUGAUAAGAGUUGUAGCUUUAAAUGUGGACAGAAACAAGAGUGUGGGGCAAGAAGUUUGCACAGGUAAGCCGCCUUGGUCAAAGUGUGGUCUGGUUGACCAACCAUCAACUCAGGUCUGGUUCUGAGAAGUCCUGAAGACUCUGGUGAAGUCAUUAUCCCUUGUUGGACAAGAUGAUUGCUUCUGCUUUGGGGGACAGCUGCAGUUUGUAUUGGGGGGUAAUGGUUUCUAUUAGUGGGGGAUGGUUCCAUCAUGGUGUGAUCCGUUUGUAAGGCUCACUGUUCCUGGAAUCUUGAAGAUGUCUUGCUUUUAUCUUAGUGUCUUCAGUCUUAAAGUGAAGUGGCACAAGAGAAGUUAGGUGAAACUAGAACUAAUCAUCCUUGUAUCGCCAGUCCUUAGGCAGACACUCCUCAAAUGGUUAAUAUAUCUGUUGCAUAGUUGAGCAGGAAUCUGACCCAAAGAUUAAGGUAGAAAGGAGACAGAUACAAAAUGAAGACAGAGCUGGGCGUGGUGGUGUAUGCCUGUGAUCCCAGAGGCUGAGGAGGCUGUUGCAGGAUUAUUGUAAGUUCAAAGCCAGCCUCAGCAAAAGCAAGGCACUAGGCAACUCAGUGAGACCCUGUCUCUAAAUAAAAUACAAAAUAGGGCUGGGGAUUUGGCUCAGUGGUUAAGCACCCUGGCUUCCAUUCUUGGUACCAAAAAAAAAUGAAGGCAGAGAUGCCAAGUUUUGGGUAUGUGUGUUUUUGGUUUUGACUUUUUAGUUACCCAUCAGACAUCUUUAAGCCCAAGAGUCAGUGCUUCUUAGUAAAAGCAGCCUCUAAUUCUCUAUUAUGUAACUACUUCCUUUUUCCUUUGUGGUUGAAGUUAGUCUAUUCCAGUUUCUGUUGUUUUAAGACAUAUGAUACUGAAUCAUUUCAUGACUGUGUUAUCUCUACUGAGUUAUUUCCUUCAGAGUAUUUUUCUAGAAUUAAUAUUAAUAGAUUAGAGAACCCACAAAACACUUACUGCUAUAUGGAAAAGUAAGUAUGUUUUCCUCACUCAUCUCUAUGUUCAUGGCUAAGGCUCCUAUAGCAAAAGGCAGAUUAAUAAAAGAAUACAAAUUUACUUAAAAUAAGUUUUGCAUGACAAGAGAACCUUUUAUUUUGGCAGUGCUGGGAAUCAAACCCUAGGCUUUGUGUAUACAAAGCAAGCACUCUACCAACUGAGCUAUAUCCCCAGCCCAAUAAGAGAAGCUUCAUAGGAAAUAAAGACAUGAUGAAAAAGGGUAAACUUGUGUACGUUUUAUGCAGGUUAAUGAGGAAGUGGGUAGUCAUGGAGAAAUGUAAUUAGACAAUGGGAACACAAUGGAAUGGAGGUAGAUCCGGGGAGAGCUAGUGAGGCCAGUUUGUUCAGAUUCCUCUGUGUCCUUGUGUCCCUGUCUUCAGAGCUAACGGCUGUGUUGUAGUACACUGCUGUGACUAAAAGAUCUGACCAGAACAAUUAUAGAAGAGGAAAGUUUAUUUGGGGCUCAUGGUUUUAGAGGUCUUAGGAUCCUGUCUCCUGCUUCAAGGGGCAGUUUACACAAUCCCUCCUAGUUUUAUAAGAUCUAUAGGGGAGAAGGCAAGGUAAGGUCAGAGUGACCUUCCUGCUUCUGUUAUUUUCUCAAAUAUAUUUGGGAGCAGCACACAUAAUGUGUCCCAAAGCCAACUGUUGCAUAAUGAUAGCAAGUGUAUUUUCCAUAAGGAAGGAACAGAUUCCUGACAGUUUAUGUUACAGCUGGUUAAUAACUUCGUCAUCUUCUUUUCACAUGACAUAUCUCACUCUAAGAAGAAAACUUCUGUUGGUCAAAUGGCAGUAUUAGUAAAUGCCAAAUCAUUGAUUUCUAUGUUAGAACACACCCAUGAAGAUUUUUUAAGAUAAUGAAGAACUGAUACAGUAUCAGAAGUCUGUGAAUUUCAAAACAAACCAAUUGUAUUAGACUCAAUGGAUGACAACCACCCUGCUUUCCUCAAAAUUAAUUCUGAGUCCAAAUACUAACCUUCUUUUUGUUUUCUUUUCUUUUUUUUUUUUUUUUUUGUACCAGGGAUUGGACUCAGGGGCACUCAACCACUGAGCCACAUCUCCAGCCCUUUUUUUGUAUUUUAUUUAGAGACAGCGUCUCACUGAGUUGCUUACCACCUCACUUUUGCUGAGGCUGGCUUUGAAUUUGCUAUCCUCCUGCCUCAGGCUCAGGAGCUGCUAGAAUUACAGGUGUGAGCCACUGCGCCUGACUUUUAAAUACUCACCUAAUUUGCAUGGAUAAAAAGAAUCAUAGCUUCCCCUUUGCCUGUUCUCCUCUUCUUGAGGACAGGUUUUCCUGUCUGGAUUAGUUUUCUGAUUGGCACAAAUGUAGAAAAGAGAAAAAAAAAUGCUGGCACAAAAUUGUCCACCAGCUUUUUUGUUUUGUUUUUUGGAAAGCAAACUGUGCCCAGGGAGAUAUUUUAAUAUGAUGUUUGGCAUUUUUCUUUCUCCCGUGUUUGAAGCAUUCCUGGCUGUUCCACGCAGGCCCAGACUUGAUUAGAAUCCUGUUCUUGCUGACCUGUUGUUAUUGUGCAUUGCUAUAUUAAUUAGCAGAUCAUAAUGAAACUCCCUUCCUGUUACUGCUGCUGUUUUCCUACGGCACCCUAAUAUUUUGUAUCCUCUCAGACUUUGGGUUAAAAAUUUGAAUGUCACAUUAAAACCUAAAGACAUUUGUGAUUUUUUUAUUCAUUGGUGAUCAUAAUUUCUUAUUGAAUUCCAUAAAACCAUUUUGAGGAAUGAUAGUCCUGUUUUAAUUUCUUCCCUUUUGCUAAAUGUCUCUUAGACUGGAUGAGAAGGUGCAAAGUUAUCAUCUACAGAUAAAAGGAAUUCUAGGUACCCUGAAAAAUAUUUUGUGCUUAUUGACCUCUGUUGCUUUAGGUUUUUAUUUUGGGAACUCUGUUAUCUUUUCGUUCAAAAGAGACCCAAAGAGAAACUGUACAUCACUAGGCCCAUCCCACCUAAUUUCCUAUGCUUUCUUCCUUUAAAAACUUGUUAUUACUCCCCUGAACUCCGACGAUGGAUAAACUCUGUGGAUUAGUGAAGUCAGAAAUUACAGCGCUAGCCGGGUACAGUGGUGCAUGCCUGUAAUCCCAGUGGUUCAGGAGGCUGAGGCAGGAAGAUUUCUAGUUGAAAGCCAGCCUCAGGAAUUUAGAGAGGCCUUAAGUAACUCAGUGAGACCCUGUCCCUAAAUAAAAUAUAAAAAGGGUUGGCGAUGUGGCUCAGUGGUUUUCGUGCUUGGUUCAACCCCCUAUGCCACAAAAAAGAAAAACAGAAAUUACAGAACUAAAUUGAGAGUGCAUUUAGGACCAGGGCUGGUGGACAACAUGAGUCCAAGGGUGAGCAUCCUCCCUAAGGAGGGCUCUGGGGCCACCUUUCAGUAGCAUGCACACUGCUGGUCCCAGCCACACCCUGCCUCUUCUGAGUAUGCAAGCUCAUCUCUACCUCAUUUCAGAGAGGACACUUUGUGGGCACAUGGUCCUCUCAAAGGUUGGGAAACAGUAAUGUUAGUAAAGCUCCUGCAGUCCUUUGUGUGGACCCUGGGUCCCUUUCUUGCCAUGCUGGGGUUUUUGUUUGUUUGUAUGUCGAUGAAGCUGGGAAUUGAACUCAGGGCCUUGCUCAUGCUAAGCAAGUGCUCUACAGCUGAACUACGCCCCUGGCCCUGGCAUCCUGUUUUUGAAUUGCUGUUACUCUCUUGGCCAGAGCAUCCUGAAAGAAGUAAUUGCUUUGGUUUCUCCAUGGUGGAUCAUUUAAAGAGUGAAUUCAUUUCAAUUAUUCAGCCAACACAUAUGUAUAUCGUGUUUACAGUGUCAAAGAACUAUUUAUGACCCUCGGGGUGUUUAAAACUAGAUAUUAACACAGAUAAUAUUCAUAUAAAGUAUGUCGGACAGGCAGAGUGUCAGGAGCUACAGUGGGCAUUGUGGUUGACUUGCUGAGCUUAUCCCACCCUAGUUGAUCCGUGAGAGUCAGAGAUUGGCAGGCAUUUAUGCAGAGAGCCAGAUAGUAAGCUUUGUAAGCAUGUGGUCUCUGUGGCAGCUACACAAUUGUGCAGCCAUAAUGUCAAUAGGUAUAUGGGACAUAGGUGGCUAUGGCCUAAUAAAACUUUUAUUUACAAAAGCAGGCAAUGUGGUCAUAGUUUGGUAAUGUCUAAUUUUGUGCAAAUAACACCUCUGACAAGUCAGAAAUGGUUUCAUUUCAAAUUACGUCAUUUACUGAUCCUUGAGGCCUCCAGGGUAGCCAUUCAGGAUUGAGGGCAGUUGGAAACUCUGCACCAAGCAGCCCUGUUCAGUUACCCCAGUGAGCGGUGCAAAUGCUGAAGUUUCCAGGUUGGGUUGUGGUGGGAAACAUGGUGCACUGUAAAUCUAUCUUGGUCACAGUACCCCUUGCACUGGCAUGGGAUGGGAAGGCUUCGACCCACUGAGGCCAGUGAGACUGGAGGAGGUAUAAACAGAGGUUUCUGAAGAAGGCACCAGAAGAUGUGCUCUCCCUUCCCUGACUGCCCCUCUGACCAGGUGGAAGCAUAAACAGGGGAGUAGGGACAGAGGUGGAUCAGUCAUCCAUGAAACUCACUUACCUACACCUGCUCCUGAAAGCAGCCUGGUAACAAUUUGGUAGUUAUUUGCUAGAUCACAAUUCAAGGCCAUCAGACCUUGCUUGGAGCUUCCUAAAGAAGUGUGUUUACCUGAGCACUCAAGGCUAUAUAAGCUUUAGGCUGGUAAAGAGUGGGUGUGGGUGGGCUAUAGGGCAGGCAGGGGGAAGAGUCAGGAGGGAGCCUACUUUAUGUUUUACUUUCCUGUUUCAACUUGUUUUAAUCCCAAAUAUCAGUCAUGAGACAAGAUACAAAGUAAUAUUUUACUUAGCUUGGGGGUAGGUGGGUAGAAGGGACCUCCAAGGGAAGAACAUUGAAACUGAAUCCCAAACUGAAAGUAGUAGUUAGGCAAGAAGAGAUUUCAUAAGAAACUUACAAUCGUGGUUGUAAUGCAAUGUGGUAGGAAUCUACAAUAAAAAAAAAAAAAAAACUUAGAAAGCAAAACGAGAAAGAAGGGUAUUUUUGUUUUGUUUUUGCAGGCCUUAAUGUUUUUAUAAGUCUACCGAUGAUUUAUCAAGCAUUUGUGUAUUAAGUGUAAUCUUGAAGUGAUUUUGCAAAAGUGUCCACUUUUACAGAUCAAAAUUGUUACCUUGCCAUGUUUGAAUUAGCUUAUUUAUCAAGAAGAAAGGAGCAUUUGUGGAGCAUUUUUAAUACAGGAAAACAGGAGUGUCAAUAGGCUUCACAAUGAAUGUCAAAAUUCUCCAACUGGAAGUGUCAUUUGCCUUGAUAGUAGCUCUCGACCUAUAAUGUUAGAAUCAGAAGCUGUCCUGUCGGGAAUGUAGAUUUUUAGUAUCCAAGCAUCAGAAACUAUGACUCUCAUUUUUGUUUUAAACACAGAUCAUUUUUAAGUUUAAGUUACAAAAGCCUGACUCAACACCUGGAUAAAACUAAGAAGACAGUUAAAAUCUUUUAUUACAGCCAGGACAGAGCAGGGAUGAGCUGCAGACUUGACUGAUCCAGGGACUCAAAGAGAUGUCCAGGGCCCAUGUUUGGGAAGCACCAUCUGUAGAUUGGCUACUACCAUCUGCCAUCUGUAGGCUGGCUUCAUCCUGAAGCUAGUUCUUCUGUGGUCAUAAAUACAUCUGGCACUUGUGACUCUGUCCAAAAGAGAGGGCAAGCUUCUCUCCCAGCUCCUCUACUCAGUCAAGUUGGCCAAAUUUGUUGCAUGUUUGCUCAUGAACAGAAGCUGCUGCUAGGGGGAUGUCAUAUGGUAAGUGGCUUCUUGGAAGUGCUUAGAGUUUUCCGGAACUGGAUUUUACUGAGAAGUUGUUGGAUUUGUAAGUUGUAGAUGAAGCUAAGAAGCAUCGGUCUAUCCUUUUUAUCGUCACUGCUCCUUCCAUUAAUGUGGUUGUAAACAAGGGGUCAGUAAUGAUUUAUGCUUUGAAGCAUAAACAAUGGUGAUUUUACUUAUUACUUUUUGGGAAUUCAAAACAGUACUACUGAUAAGAAUAAUCCAUAGUAUAGCCAUCUGGCACAUAACAAAAGUCAGGACGGUAUUUGCUAUUGGACAGGACCAUUUUUAAUGAAUAUUUGCUGAUCAAUCUUUGUUCUUCAUUUUAUAUUUCAUAUCAGAAAAUUUGAAUGUAUACAUCAAGCAUAAGGUCUUUAUAAUCAGGUUGUCCAAUUGAUUUAAUUCAUGCCUCAGAGAUAUUUUCAUCCACCAAAGAAUUUUCUAAUUAUAUCCCCUUAUGAUCAAAAGUAGUGUUUCAAUUAAUUUGUCUUGCUAAUUUGCCAAGUAAAUUUGAGUAAUUAUUGCUUUCAUUUUGCUAUUUAAUUUGAUUAAGAAGCCAUCAUGUUUCCUGUUCCUGAAAUUAUGCUGUUGGUGUCUUACGAACAGGAGCGCAGCAAUGUUGGAGAAAAUGACAGUCUGUUUGUUUCUAUUUUCAGUCUAGAAGAGAAAUCCUUUCUAGUCUUGUCUGAUUAGUGGCCAGCCCACCCGUCUUUGGACACAUCUCCUUUAGCUCUUUGACACCUGACUCAUGUUUUCCUUCCUCAAAUUUAAUCAUACUUGAUUUUCAAGAAGAACAGAUGGGUAAAGAUAGAAACAAAAAUAGUCUACUUUUUUUUUUUUUGAGCCUUUUCAAGCUUGGGGUCUGUGGGUCCUUCUCCAGCUAAGCGAUCCUAGUUUUCCUGUCAUUCACAUAGAAGACUCUAUUACUGGAAAUGACACUGGAGCUGACACUAGAAGAACCUACUGUUGGCCUCUGUGACAUCUAAUGUAAUAAGCAUCACUUUGGCCAGAAGGCUCCUGGGGCUCAUGUGGACCUCUGUGGAUGCUUUGUGCUCAGCCAGACCAGGCAGUGAAGCUCUGCCCAGGGAUUUCAAGGUAUCCAAAUUUGUGCCAGAGCAGAACUUGCCUGUCACAACCAGCAGCUAAAGGGUCCUCCCUCAGUUCAACAAGAGACCCCUCCCACAUGAUGCAUUCACUGGUUAUUGCUUGAAGUGAAUAUAUUAUUCCAUUAGGAGAUUGCUAGUUGAGAAACUGUUUAAUACUAAUGUAUUGAACAUGCAUUGAGAUUUGCAUUGAGAUUUAACCCGAUUUUAGGUCCUUAAAGCAACAAUGGUGUCUUGCCUUCUACGUGGCUAUGAAUGGAGCUAUUCUAAACUUUCCGUUUAGGUUCAAGUCACUGGAAGUCAUUGGAAGGUUCAGUAUGAGCCUGGAUUCCCUCACCUAGAGCUUGAUUGCAGGAGGAUGAUAGAGAAAAGCUAGGAAGCUUCUAAGAGUUAAACCAAGCCAAACUUAGCUCCAGAUAAUACAGGGAAACUUCCACAGGCCAAAGAAACCAAGCUGGUGGGUGAUGACAUGACUGAGUGCAGUAUUCAGGUACCUCCAGGGCAAAAGCCAAUCAGGAUUCUGGUCACAUCACUCAGUCUUCUUAGUGCCUUCUUUUCUUGUGAUAAGGGGUUUUCUGCAUUCAUUCCAGAGCACAGAAAGAAUAACACAUUCAUCUCUGGGACAUUUAUUCAAACUGCCCCUUCCAGUAGAUUUCAUGAUAACAAAAUUAGAAUGUGAAUGUUUCCACUUUAAGUUAUGACUUAGUAAAUGACUCUGGUUCUGCUUUAGGAAAAAGUGCACCAUUCUGUACAACCAUAAAUCUCAUUCUGUCUGUAUCCCUAAAUACAUCUUUGCAAGUUGCAGUCAUCUGGAAUUCUGGGACAGGAUUCUUGCAAUUAAAGCACUUAGCUUGGUGUUUGAAAUUCAAUAGAUGCAAGGACUUAUUCGACAAAUAAUUAUUAAGCACAUUCUAAGUACCAAGUUGUGCCACACAGAUAAAAUUAUGAAUAAGAUAGGUGGCACACACCUGUAAUCCCAGCGGCUCUGGAAGCUGAGGCAGGAGGAUUGCGAGUUCAAAACCAGCCUCAGCAAAAGCAAGGCACUAAGCAGCUCAGUGAGACCCUGUCUCUAAAUAAAAUACAAAAUAGGGCUGGGAUGUGGCUCAGUGGUCGAGUGCCCUUGAGUUCAAUCCCUGAUACCCCUCCAAAAAAUUAUGAAUAAGAUAGACAUGAUCCCUACCUGCAUGCUGUAUAUCUGCCAUCUACUGAAUGGUGAAAAGAACCCCAGAAAGGAGGACCAGGGGAAAGGAAGGAAGCAAGAAAUGAAGAAAAGAAGGAAAAAAAAACCUUACUAUAAAUUUUUAACAACUAAAAAAGCAACUGCUGUCACAUUUCUGCAUAUAUUUGGCUCCGAAUACCUGGCAAAAAUGGUAGCAUCAUUCUGUAAUAGUUUAGUCUCCUCCCAGAAAAAAAUCAAGAUCAGGGUCAUAGUUUAAAGAACCAAAUACUCUGAUAGGUGAAAACAGAAAAUUGCUUGAAAUUCUUUUCUUCCUCAGUUCUUUUUUUGAUUAGGUUAUUUCAGUGCAGAAUCAUUCCCCCUCUUACAUUAAUACCUUUAAAAAACCUUAUUCAGUAGCUUAUAGCAAUCUACGGCAAUGGAAUUCAAUAACUGAAGAAAGAGGGAAAUUCUCUUGGAAAAUGUGUGGAAAAUAGGAUGUCUUGAGGCACUGCCAGAGAAUAUGCUGGUCUCUCCUUUCAAGAUUCUUCUUAAUUUUUUUCAAUAUUUUUAUUUGAAAAACAAAGGUCUACCUAAGUGCUGUGCCUUCUUAGAUGGAGUGUAAAGUCCUGAAGGAGAUUUAGGAAACUGAACAGUUUCAUUCUGAUGAUUCUUUUGUAUUAGGUGCGCUCAGCUCUUUUCUACCAUGUCUCAUUUGAAUGUUAAAUGGGAGCCAGAAAAACACUUCAUUUCAAAUGUAACUGGGGAAGAUAUUUUUUAAUGUUUGGGAUCAUUUCUCAGGAGUGAACUUUAUUCAACAGACUAUGUCAAUGAGGUAGGUAAGGAAGAAAGGACAGUUGAGACAAAUUGUCGGUGUGAGCACUGUCUUGCUUAAACCCAUAGAUUUUAUUAAAAUGUUCUGGUAGCUAGGGUUUGGGGAUAAUGUUUCAGGACACCAGCUGACUACUUCUGAUAAUGUAAUACCAUAUCCGUGAAAAGUCCCCUGCCUGCUCAUUGCCUUCAUGGGGCUUAUAAUUGAAAACAUUCACAAAUGUGUCUUGGAAUAGUCUCUUCUCUAAUCACGUGCGUUUAGACCAGUAACACUAUUCUGAUGUUGCUGGGAGAUUUGUCUUUUUUUUUUUCUUUUUUUAUUAGUUGCUCAAGACAAUACAAUUACCUUGACAUAUCACACAUUUGAUUCAAAUAGGGUAUGAAUUCUCAUUUUUCCAUGUGUACAGAUUUCAGGAUCACGUUGGUUAUACAUCCAUGUGUAUACAUACAGCAAUCCUAGUGUCAGUUGUAUUCUGCUGCCCUCCCUAUACUCCCCCUCCCCUCCCCUCCCAUCCCAUCCCUAUUGUUUAUACUACUGUGACACUUAUCUCUCUCUCUCUCUUUUUUUUUCCUCCCUUCCCCCUCACACCAUCGCAUAUGUAUUUUGUGAACCCAUGAGAGUCUCCUUCCAUCUUCCGUGCAAUUCCCCUUCUCCCUCUGGGAGACUUGUCUUUAUGAGACAUUUGAAGAGAGUUCUUUCAAAUCUUUCUAUAAGAGUCCUUACUCCCAAGAAAAAUAUUUCUGCCCCAGAACUGAAAAUUCAUUUUGGUGGGCUUCCUCCGGUGUUAGUGAUCUGCCCCUGUGUUUUUUGCCUUCAUUUCAUAACAAAUGAUGGAAAGUAGCCACUGGUCUUAACAGGUGUCCCGCAGUUAGGCAGAGGUCAUUUGUAAGCAUUAUUCAUUGGGAUCACCAGAAGUGAUAAAAGGACUCAUCUGACUUCUAGUCUGAUUUUUAACCUAGUAAUAUAUUGACAAACAUAAGGAAUAAAGAGAAAUUAUAAAAAAUUCACUAAAUGAGCAAUGGUCUAUAGUGGGACUUCAUUUAUCAGAUCUUUUCAGAAAAUACCAUAGGAAAGGAUUAUUCCAAAUAAAUGUAUUUUCCCCCGAAAGUGUUAGUUAAUGGGAAACAAACAAAUUGACCAGCUAUGAACUGGAUUUGAAUCUCAGUGUCAAUCCCUUACAACAACUUGAUUCUGGGCAAACUUUCUGAGCUCUCAGGAUCUCAGUUCCCUCUCUAAAAGGGGAUAACAAUACCUGCUUCUCACAUGACUAUUGAAAAGACUCAGUAUGACAGCCUGAAUUGUUUUGCACAUGGAAAAAAUACAAGUGUUAGUCCUCCAUUCUCCCUAAAAUCCCAACACAGCCUUUAUUUUAAUCAUGUUGUUAUGGUUUAGAUAUGAGUUGUCCCUUUUUUCAUAUGGGUGAGGCAAUGCAAGAAUGCACAGAGAGGAAAUGAUUAGAUUCUGAAAGCUUUAAAUUAAUGUCUGGAAGGCUCUGCUAAUAUGGUGUCACUGUGUGGUAACUAUAGGCAGGUAGUAUGUGGGCACUGGGAGCAUGCCCUUGGGGUUCAUAUUUCGUAAUUAGUGAGCAGAGCUCUCUGUGUUUCCUAGUUGACAAGUCCUGAGAUGCUUUUCUCUGCCAUAUUCUUCUGCCAUGAUGCUCUCCCUCAUCUUGGGCCCAGAGCUAUGGAGUCAGCCUACCAUGGACAGAACCUCUGAAACAAUGAGCCAAAACAAAUUUUUCCUCCUUUAACUUGUUCUUUUCAGGUCUUUUGGUCACAGCAUUGAAAAAACUGACUACAGCAACAUUGAAAUAGUUUUAAGGAUGAAGUAUGUUAUGUCCCCAUCAUUUCAACCAGAAUAUAUAAAAAGUAAACAAACAAACAAAAAUUAUACUGUUAUAUGGAGUCCUUCCUAAGAGUUCUGGACACACAUUAACUGCUGUGCACCUUUACUGAAUAACCAAGACUGAAAGAACUUUCUAGUUCUUUCUGGUUUUGUUUUGAAGCAGUUUUAUGUCACGCUCUCACCUAUUAUAUACUGCUAUUAUUAGUUAUGUCUUUUGUUCUUGCUCCCUCACUUCUAAUUUGUGUCCUGUCUAAUUAUAAGUCAUUUUGCAGCCACAUAUUAAAGAAGCACUGUUCAGUUUUCUGUUUCUGUGAACUUCAUAUCAUUGAAGCACUGACAUUUGUAUGCUCUGGCCAAUGCUUUUUAACUUCCUGAUUUAGGGUCAUACUUUGGACAGCUGAAUAUGCCAUUUGCAUAAGCAUGCUUCUUAGGGUUAGCAACAGGAUGCUUUGAUGACACCAGUAAAUGAGUUCAAUGUUAUGGUAACCUUGAUCCACGGAUUUAUUUUAACUUAAGGUUUCCAGACCAUUUCAAGGGGCCCAUAGUUCAUCAUUAGGCUUCAGAGAAUUUGUAAACCUACUGAAGCAGUAUGUAAUUUUUAUGUGCUAGGUACACGUGAUUUUCUUUUCAUGAUUCUAAUUGGUUCUUGAUAUCUGAAGACAGAAUCUCUGGCAAACAACAUUGGGAAGUCUAACACUGGAAAGCUUAGGGAUCUGAAUGUUAGAUAUAACCUCCUGAAAAACCUCAAAUCUCCCCAAGAGGCUGGAAAGCCAUGGAACCCCUUUGACUUGAUUUCAUUAUAUAUGAAAGUAUUUGUCAGAGGAAUGGUGUAGGGGAAGAUGUCCCCACGUACAAUAAGCAUUGUGGAAAUAAGUACUCCUAUACACCGUUCUAUUUAGAAAUCACAUCUGUGCAAUUGACUGCUCAAUCUUCUUAGUGAGUUAAAUAUGCUUUCAUUUAUGAUCUUAACCAGUUUUGUUUGUGCCACAUUGGAGACAGUUCUCUAUGGAGGUCACAUUUCAGCAUAUCUUGUGAUCAGAGGCACUUUUUCUGGAUUAUCUUUUCAAAGAUAUUUGUGUAGUAAACAGUCUUGGAAGACAAAAUUGGGGCCAGGUUUGUUUUAUUGUUCAGUAUAAUAUAUAUUAUCUCCUUCUGAGGUAAAAAUUGGACAGAUUUUCUUGCAGCCCAUUAGGAAAGAUUCUUCAACUGUGACACAAACCCACUGUUUGCUUUUUCUACUUGGGCAGGCAAAGUUAAUGGACACAAACAGGAAGCUCAUGUUGCCGGAUGGUGCUAUGUGAGUAACACAGUCCUCUUGUCUGUGAUCCAGAAGUCUCCUACCUUUUGCCAGCAUCCAUGAAAUUUUGGCAGUCUCACUCUAGCUCACAAACAGAGUAGAACCUCAGACCUUUCACAGUUCUCAACAGCACUGUUAGUAUGACUAUGAUUCAUUUUAAAAUACUUCAGCAUAAUGAUGUACGCGUGCUCUUGAGGCAAAAACCUCAGCUCAAGUAUACACUCCAGGGCAGAUACUCAAUGCUGCUAGUACAAAUACUGCUGUCCUUCAUAUUUCGACUGAUACCAGAAGCUUUACUAAUUGGUGUAACAGUUGUCAGAAAUGUAUUUUUAUUCAUAUAAUUAGUGCUUUAUUAAUUAACAUGGUGAAUGUUUAAAAAUGGGCUUUAGUUGGUAAAAUCAAAAUAUUCAGGACUAUAGAUUGGCUAAAAUAGCUUGAGCUAUAUCGUAUCCUUGCAUGAAAGGAUUUAAGGAUCCAUCCAGGCACAGAGGCAUUCUUCUUGGCCUGAGUAAUAGUCAAAAUACUGAACAACCAAUAUGUCCUAGACUCUGAGGAAUCAGAACUAAAAGAAAUUCUGUUCACUGUGCUAAAGCAGCCUCCCAUGGGGAACCUCCUGGGACAGCCAUUAACUCUGUUAUGCUCGAAUUCAGGACCCCCAAAAGACCACCAGAGACCAAGAUCGAUGUAAGCAGCAAAGAGGUGUUUAUUGCGAGCUAGCUCAGUCCUCUGCCCGCACACAGCAACAGGUGACGCUGAGAGGCCCCGAGCCCAGGGUUUGCAGUAGUUUUAUACAUUCUUUGGGGAAGGCAGGGACCCCCACAUACAUCAUAGCAUCUCUUAGCAAAUCAUCACAUACCGCGGGAAAAUCAAAUAACAACUCUAAAACAUGAUUAGUGUAUCAAGUGGCGGGAAAGAAUCUGGAAAGAAUUAUUGGUUAGUUCAAGGGUUUGACGCACUAAAAAAUUGAUUGGUUUAAAUUGUGAGGAUGUCGCAAGGGGGGGUAUGUGCCAAACUGCAGGGCUUCUAGUUUAGAUACUGGUCACCACACCUAGGUGGGGCCUAUCUUAGGUGAUCACCAUCUGCGGCUUUUCCGAGAACUGUUUCCACAGAGCUUUUCUGUAGUAUUUUCCUGACUUUAGGACUACAGUAGGUCAGAGGUUAAGUUUCAAAUCAAAAUGAGGUCCCAAGUAGAAUGAGAUUGCUUAGGUCUUUCAACUCUUUGUAAUCUGGAGCCUGAGGCUAGGAUUUUCUAUUGUCCUCAAGGGAAAAGAGACACUGUAGGAUAUUUGAGGAACUUGGAUCCAUGGCUGUUUACCUACCAGUACAGAGGUGUAUUUUCAUGUUUUGACCACAGUACAGCUAUAAUGAUGCAUUCAAGUUGUGUGCUCUGAGAAAUGGCAUCUAUGGACAAAUCACCCCAAAGGGUUCUGGUUUUAAUCUUCCGUUUGAAGCAUACCUGGUUGGUUGUUGUCAAUGGGAACAGAAACCUGCCCUGGAAGCUUGCCCCAUUUGUCUGUAGUGGUUCUUUCAUACAAGUUGGUAACCCAAAUACCUAGAAAGACAGACAGUUAGGAUGAUGAGCUAUUUUGUGCCUGUUCUUUGAUGACUGUUUGUUAAAAUAAGUGUCUAUAUGUGUAGCCGGAUUUGGUCUGAGACUUGCUUUCAUUAUAAUUUGUGAAAGAAAAACUAUCCCUCACAAUCUCUUACUUUUUUUUUUUUUAGUGGGUAUUGGAAUUUACCAAAAAGGGUUGCAAGGUUGGGCUUGACCAAACUGGAUUUAGUUCCGAUUCCAAGAGCUGCCUUACAAGCCUGCAGGGAUCAUCAAGAAAAACCUCUUAGACUGAGGGUAGCUGACCAACAUCAAAGCAGUGCUUGCUGCAGCACAGUCCCAUUUAACUGGAUGCCUAGAGAGGAUAUGCAGAGGCCACUUGGCAGCUAAGGGCAGUGUGAUGGGUACCGACAGGGAGGGCGGAUGAAAUGUCAUCCGGAUGGAAUGUAGCACCUCUUCCCACAGGUUUGUUGGAAAAUUGGCUGCAGCCCUGGGACACACUGAGGAACCGUAGUUUAGAGACACACCAGGCCUUUUCACACUCUCUUUUUGGGCCAUCCAUGAAUCAAAGACCUGAGUUUCAGGUAGUCCCAGCCUUUAUAAAUAGCAGCUACAGACAGAAAGUAAAGAAGAAUCUUUAUCUCCCUACCCUGAGUGAAACCCUGCUGGUUAUCUUAGCAACCCCCACACGGAGAUCGGAUUCUGUGUCAGUUCACAGUGGGGACACAAAGGCCACCACUGUACAUUCUGUACACAGAGCCAAUGUCAUCUUAACAGUGGAUGAUCUCUAGUGAAACUUUUAGGAUGGCUUCAGUGCUAAGGGUCAAGGAUUAAUAGCAACUGCGCUUGCAGACACUCAGCCGGCAGGAGAAGACAAAGGGUAAACUGCUUUUUAUGUGUACAUGGUGCAAAUGUGUGUAUUAAGAACUGUAUCCAGUGGGUCACAGAACAGAGGCCCGUUUCAUUGGUAGGAGCAAAAGAAUUCAGAAGCCGCUCCACUCUCUCAUCCUUCUUUUUUUUUUUUAACACUUUCACUGAAAUUUAAUGCUGUUUCUGGAGGAGCCAAGGUACUUUUGUUUCUUUGGCAUUCCUUUGCCUUGAGAGGAUGCCAAGAGGCAGAGCACCCUUGCUAUCCUCUUCAUGGCUCUGUGAUUCUUGUUGGAAUCUCAGGAGGAGGUGAUGCAGGGCCUUGAUUCAAUGUAAAGUCUAGAGGGAAGGAUCCUGAGUCCAUCUGGUACUUAGAGGAAAAAGAAUGAGGUUCGCUGUGGUAUGAAAGGGGAACUCCCCCAGGAACCUAGAGAGGAAGUGAAGAAAUGUCUGUUUCUGUGUGGUCCUCAUGCCUGGCAACAUGGCAGGAAUGUCCAUUUCUUAGAGCUCUGACUUCCCCAUCUCUGCGUCUUUCUUUCUAGGUGGCCCCUGCUCCUUUUGUUUGGUCUAGAUCUCUUUUACACUGGUGGUUUACAUAUACUGACAUGAAGUACACACAGUCAGCCCUCAGCAUCCAUGGGGGAUUGGUUCCAGGAUCCUUCAAUGGAGGCCAGAGUCAGAAGAUGCUCAGGUUUCUUCUGUAAAAUAGCCUAGGACUUGCAUACAAAGCACACAUCCUCCUGCAUACUUUAAAUAAUCCGUAGAUGAUGUAUGGUUCCUAAUACAGUUUAACUGCUGUGUGUGUGUGUGUGUGUUGUAUGUGUGUGUGUGUAUGUAUAUAUAUUAAACUGUAUCAUGUAGCACAGUAUGGAAAUGUGUGCAUAUUUUUGCUCUGAAGUAGGUUGAAUCUGUGAUGCAUAGAUAGCAGAUACUGAGCGUCAGCUGUUUCUCCAAAUGUCCAAGAUUGUUGGCAAAAGAGAAAAAGGUUGUUGGCUUAUUUCUCCCCCUUAACUUUAUACUUUGCUUUGAGUAUGUGAAUCACCUUUUAAAAUGCAGGCAAGUAAUUAUGUGGUGUAUAUACUCAUUACCCAAAUAGGUCUAGAUGUGUGUGGGGGGGGGUACCAGAGAUUGAACUCAGGGGCACUCAACCACAUGAGCCAUAUCCCCAGCCCUAUUUUGUAAUUUAUUUAGAGACAGGGUCUCACUGAGUUGCUUAGGCUGUGCUAAGGCUGGCUUUGAACUCAACAAUCCUCCUGCCUCACCCUCCCGAGCCACUAGGAUUACAGGUAUGUGCUACUGCGCCUGGUAGGACUAGAUUUUUUUUUUUUAUUAAGAAUAAAUAACACAACUACAUCAGCCUGCUUUACUUUGACAACCAGGAAAUUAUAAAUUAUAAGCAAAAGAAAAUAGUCACUGAACAGAACCCAUUUAAGAAAGUCAUUAGAAAGUCAUUCCAGUAUCCUGGACAAUAGUGUCCUCAUGAAUAAAAUAUAGGAGGUGACAUGGAUACAGGAUUAUCAAACUCGGGGCCAAAUCUGGUCUACAUGUUUCUGUAAAUUAAAAAAAUAUAUAUAUGAGAAUCCAGCUAUGCUCAUUCAUUUAUUUUGCGUCUGUGGUUGCCUUUGAACUAACACACUUACUGUCUGGCCCUGUUUAGAACCAGAUUUCCAACCCCUUGACCUGUGUGAACUUUCUCCCAGGUCUCUUUGGGUCUAAAAUCUGUGAUGCUGUGAUGUGUUCAGUGGCAGGAGAAGUGAGAGAAGGAUAAAGUCAAAAGGACAUGGAAAUAGAGGCGGGAUGCGCUGGUUCUUGACAAGGCUUGAAUUUAAAAGAGGCUGUGUCCUGUUCAGGUCUAAUCCCUUCACAGUAAUCCCUGCCUCCCAUCCCCCUGCCUUCCUGUUUUGCCUGAAGCAUUCACAGCUGGAGUUGCCUGGAACGACUUUGAUUGCACAUAAAAAUCCUGUCGUCUUUCUCUGUGGAGCACAUGCUCUGCUUGUAUAAAAUCCUUCAAAUGUAUCAGCUGGAAAAAUUCCUUUCCUUCUGUGAGAUAUAAUUGUUUCCCAUGUGGAAUAUAGAACCACUUUAUCUUGCCAGGCCAGAGGCAUUUUGUUGAGGAAAAUGGGUUUUCUGUGCCCCUGUGUGCUGCCCUGGUCCUGUGUGGUGCUCUGAUGGAUGGGUACUCUGUUCCCUCCCACCUGGGCACAGAGGUCCUGCAUACAUAUCCAUCUCACCUGUCAUUUGUUAGAUUGCAUGAUUAAUGCUGGAAGGUCAUCUUGACUUAAGUGAUUUAAUUUAUUGGCUGUUUGCUUUGUUGAUUGUGGUUGGUAGGAACAAGAGGAGGUUUUAUCUUAGAUGGGAUGUAGCCAGAGGGCAGGAACCAUCUAAGCCACCUCAUUGUGUGCUGUGCUUUAUAAAGCUACACUUGCAAGUGGGAUGUAAGAAGUUUGUUAGGCACCUUUUCAUCACUGUGACAAAAAUACCUAAGAAAAACAACUUAAAAGAGGGAAAAGGUUUAUCUUGGCUCAUGGUUUAAGAAGUUUCAGUUCACAGUCACUUGGUCCCAUUGCUGUGGCCUAUAGGGAGGCAAAAUAUCAUGGUGGGGAGGGUGUAAUGGAGCAACACUGCUUACCUCAUAGCAGCAGCCAAGAAGGAGAGAGAGAGAGAGAGAGAGAGAGAGAGAGAGAGAGAGAGAGAGACUCAUUAUCCCAGUUUCUCAUUUUGCCUGCCAUAUUACCCACGUAUUUAUUGAUUUUUUUCCUUAUAUUUACAAACAUAAAAGUCCUUCACUGAUUUUGUAGUACAUGUACAUGAAUAUAAAUAAAUAUACAUUUAAAUAUUUAAACUUUUUAAACCUUAAUCUUGAAAUGACAUCAAUAUAUAGAAAAGUUGCAAAAAUAACAUGAAGAAUUACUACUGUAUAAUCUCCCCCUAGUUUCCCCUAAAAGUAAAUGUCAUCACAUUUGCUUUAUCAUUCUUUGUCUCCUUCCCGAUCAUUCUUAGAAAUUACUUAGGUAAUUCCUUUAAAAAAAUGCCAUUGUAUGACCUGGCCAUACAGUUGCCAAAAUUAGGAGAUCAACAUUGACAUUCUAUUUUUACUCAAUAUAUAGACUUUAUAUUGAUAAUAUUUUUUAGUACAGAAUUAUUAAUAAAAGAAAUGGAAUUUAUUUUCUAUUUCUUCUUGUGGAAUUUCUUUGUGUUUUAUGGUUUUCUACUUGCAGAGUAUAAUAAGCACAAAGCACUCUUUAAAAUACCCAGGGCUGGGGUUGUAACUCAGUGGCAGAGUGCUUACCUAGCAUGCAUAAAGCCCUGGUUUCAAUCCCAGCACCACUAAAUAAAAUAAAAUAAAAUCUCCUGAUGCUCUAAGUUUAAAAAAUAAAAUUAAAUUUUGCUUCCCAAACCUGUACACCACUGUUAGAAAUUGUUAAGAUGUAGGGAAAGAUUUUAAUAAUAGUAAUAACAAUGCUGCUGAUGAAUGGUCAUGUCUUCUUUCCCCUAGUAACUUGGGCUCGGUACUAGUGAACCACACAUCAAUUUCAGCCCCUCUUCUGUAUCUUCUGCCCUUUUCCUGAGCUGAAGCAGCUAUGCAAGUAUGUGAUCUUGGAGGGUACUUCCUGGUAAAUUCCUAUGUCAAUGAUGCCCCUUGGGGAACAAUAAGUUGGCUAAAACUAUUUUUUUUUCUUUUUCCUCAGCCCCUUAAACCAAGGGUGGAGCUAAAAUAUUCCUUUCUGAGCCAGAGACAAAAUCAAGCAAAUUAAAAUUAUGACUAUUCAGCAAAAUUUCUGUGGAAACCCAGAAGGAAAACCUAUACCAUGCAUACAAUAGAAAUAAUUUGAGAAGUUUUAAUUUUUUCUUUUCUUUAAAGUCUGAACUUGAAUUUAAGUGUAGUGUUUGAACAGAUGGUCAUUCCCCUUAAUGUUUCCCUCUGUACUGUAUAGGCCCUUCCUAUUCUUUCCAUUCUGGUGACAGAAUGAAUUAAACUGCAUUGGAUAAAUACAAGGUUGAUAAAUAUUUUCCCGUUAAACUUUACCCCCAAUAUAUCCCCUGAGAGGUAGUGCUGUUGUAAGCUGUUUGUGCAUAACAUAUCUUUUCCAAAGACUAAAUCCCUGCUCCCUUUAACAUGUGUAGAUAUAGAGAAUACUGGGUACUGCCAUAGCUUGGGGUGUGGGUUCUCACAGACACAUCUGCACUGUACAUUAUGUAUGACUUCCAGCAUCCCAGUUAGCUUUAUGGAAAAAGUAGGGCACAUAAUAAAGGUGUGUGAUGAGGGGAUCUUUUUUUUUUAAUGUCUUGCUAGAACAUCACGUACUGUCAUACAUACUUUAUGUGUUUUGGGGAAAAGAUCGUUCUGUUUCAAAGAGAGUCACAUCCUACCGUACUGGGCCAGACCAACUGAACCUUGGGUGCAGCAAAUGAAAGAUGCACGAGUGACCCCAUCUCUACCAUUUAGUCCCUUAAACCUGAGAAGAAAUGAGCUGGACAAACAGAAAGGUUUAAUCAGUCUCAUACAUUAGAGUUGAGAGCUUUUGUUGAGGAGAAAUGCUGGGCCCCUCACUGUGUUGACUCCGGAGACAUCAAAAUGUCCACUUCUUGGAAUAUUCUGUAAAUAGACUCAGUACUUGGAUAGAGGUGGGGGAGAUAUCUACCAUUACCCACAUCUCCUCACCACCUAUUCUUUAAGAACACACUGUGGUGAUGGUGGGGGUGUGGGGGUGUGGGGUGGGGGUGUGGGUCUCCUUCCCAUUAUUUGCUUGAGGACAGCACCCCCUGGGGCCCAUCCCUAGGGAGUGCAAAAACUACAACAUAAAUGGAGGAGCCCUUAGUCACGUACAGUUCAACCCUGAUAAUUAAUUUGAAUUCAUACUUCCAGUUAUAAGAAGACAUAAGAAACAAGCAAAGGUUUUAAGAAGAACCAAACCUCACAUUCUUCCUUCAACCUUUUGACUUCUUUAUUUUCUGCCACCAACCAAGUUCUUCUCUUUACAGACACCUGAAGUAUGAUUUUUACUACUUGUUCCAUUAAAAGUUUGAAUUAAAGACUUUGUAUGUUUUAGGUCAAAGGUUCAAUAAUUUUUCUUUUUACGAGUGGCACUUUUGUUCAGUAACUUCACAAAAGAGCAGGUGGAUUUGGUCUCAUGGCAUAUUCUUUUUGUUCUGUAUUUUAAUGUUUAUGUAAAGAAGGUCUGAAUAGGAAGAGGUAUGAAGGAAUUUAUUCAAGAGUAGAAAGAACUAUCAAAUUUUGUCUGUGGUGGUUAAGAUUACAGAAGAUUUUUUAUCUUUCCAUUGAUCCUAUUACCUUCUGGCUUUUGUUAUUUAUGAGGAACAAGGACAAAAUCUAAUGUGUCUGUUUCUCUUACCUAGACUUUACAUUUAUACCUUAAGGCAUUAACAAUUUCAAAAUAUCACAGAAAAUAUUAAGCCUUGAUAAAUGAAGUCUAUCAGCUUUGUUUGUCCUGAUGCAGGCACUUGUGGUUACAAGGCAUGCUGGGAGCUCAGCAGCAUCCUUAUAAGAAAAGAGAAGUAACUUAAGAACCCAUAGAGCUGAAGUUCAAAAUAGAGACAGGAAGACACAGCAAAGAUCAAGAUUCUGUGACAAAUGGUGUACUAGUCAGCUUUGCAUUACUACAACCAAAUACCCAAAGCAACUAACUUUAUAAACAGAAAAGGUUCAUUUAGCUCACGACUUUGAAAAUUCAAGUGUAAGAUCAGGUGGCCCCAUUGGUUUGACUUCUGAUAGUAGAUAACAUCUUGGCAGGACAUAUGUAGCAGCAAGUGAUCAUAGCUUUAACCAGAGCACAGAGAAAGAAAAAGAGAUUGGGGUUACACCGUCUCCUUCUAGGACAUGCCCCCAAUGACCUAAGGACCUCCCUGAAGACCCCAGUCCCCAAAUGUUCCGUCAUCUACCAGCAGCCCUAGAGGGGAAUUGGAGAAUGCCCAAGACCUGGAGCCCUUCAUCAGGCAGCUCAAGACAGAACCAGGCAGGCCAAACCCGUCAAGUCUGGAGGCACAUGGUAAGCUAGGUUCUCAUGCCAGAAACACAGGUUGUCAGAAUCCCUUGAGCAAAUUUGUUUUAGACUUCACCUCGACACAUUCUUUAGAGUACCAAGAUUGCUUCCAUUGUUUUAGGAACUGGGGGGUGGGGGGAAUUCUGUGAGAUAGAGUCCUCUGAUAAUUAGAACCUUCCAACCAAGGUGGACCUGGAAUGCAGAGUCUUUUAAGAAGACUCACCAAGUCAGAGGGGUGAGAUGAACUUUUUUUCUUGGCAUAUGAGUUCUAGCAGAGAUUAACUACUAGAUUCCUAGCAAAUAAGAAACAUACAUUUAAUUGAGAUCUUCCUCACAUAUUAUCUGAGGACAGAAAAAAAAUUCUAGAAUCAGUUUGACCCAAGUUCAAGCUCAAGUUCACCAUUUACUUAAUAUAAAUAAAGAGCUCAUUACUUUGCUUUCAUGGAAAUCAGAUUGAGAAAAUACAAACUUUCAUGGAAAUCGGAUUGAGAAAAUACAAACAGAUUUGCCUCUCUAAUACCCUAACAGGAUCAUAGACAAAAAUGAUUAACUGAGGUGAGGUGUCAUUUCUUAACGGUUUAGCCCCUCACUCAGUGUUUACAUGACAGCUAUUAUAUAAUCAUUAAUGUUGGAUUUCUACUGUCAGCACAAGUCAAGGCUCUGAUGUCCAUUCAGGCCUCGAAUGUGUAUUGGUUGUCUUCCUGGGUCCAGGCACUGCUCUGAGCACAGGACACACAACAGGCAUUCGCAGUCGCGCAUCAUAGACACCAAAACAUUAAUUGAACGAAUUAAUGGAAGGCCAGAGGUUAAACUGCAAUGUCCUUAAAAGAUGAAAAGAUCAAUGGAAUUCCAUUGUUAUUUGAAGUAGGGCCAAGUUCUUUGUAGCGCCUCUUUCUCUAUUACUUCCAAAAGAUGCACUAAAAACUAAUUUAAGCCACCCUUAAAAAAAAAACAAAAAACCCACCACACCUCUCCACACCACUGCCCCACACUGGAGCUGCCCUGGAAUACUGCCACGGAGCCUUUGUCUGUGGACUUGGCAUGUGGCUAUGGUAUGCUGCUUUCUGUCCCAUUAACCUCUAUUUUAUCUGUCAAGAAUAGUAUUCCCCAUUGUUGAAAGCAGCAAUUUGCCAACCAAGCAAGCUUGGAGUCCUGUUUGAUGGAGCAUUACAGAGAGCAAAAGGGAAAGUUUAAAUAGAUUUGCCUCUCUAAUUUCCUGAAAGGAUCACAGACAAAACUUGCCCUCUGGUAAAAUGCUUUCUGUUUGCAUUAUAAUAACAAACAUUUAUUGCCAUGACAGGGAAAAAGAGAGGCCCCCAGAGGCUCUCCCUCCGCCCCCCCACCCCACCACACACACCAAAUUUCCUGGUUCCAGUUAGUUCUAUUAAAAUUCAUGGGAAACUGUGCUACUUCAAACAUAUAAAUGUAAACGUCUCCAGUUUUCUAAUAGCCUAAAGUAUUCAGUAAGACAUUUUUCUUAUAUGACUGUAAAACAUGGUACUUUUUUUAAAAAAAUCAUUGAGCCUGUGGGUUUUAACAAUGAAAUCAUGCUCAGGAAGAAAAAUCUACUUUCCCUUUCUUUGAAGCAAUUGAAGGCAUACUGUCAAGUCUAUGACUCAUAAAUCCAGUCUCUCAGAGACUUUCAGAUGUUUCACUUUAUAGUUUUAUGAAAAGAAAAAUUUAUAUCUGUGUUAUUUCAUUGAAUUUCUAUAAAACUUAUGUGUAAUAUACACGGAAUGUAUUUAAAUAAUGCAGCUAAUGUCAUAUUAGAAAGUAGGCUUCAUGUGACCAAGGACCCUGUCAGUAUAAUUCACUGCGGUAUCUCCAGUUUCUAUAACUUUGCAAAGCAGAAAAUAGGUAAUUAAGAUUUAUUUGUGAUUGUGGAGUAUCUUAUAUUUCUAUCCAGCAAAUUGAAUGAAAAUUGUAAAGAAGAAAUUUCCAAAAUUCAAGCUCUCAAACUCAGGGAAUGAUCAUGCAACAAGGACUUAAGAGUCUGAUUUUGCUAAAAACACUGACACUUUACUUGGGCCUGCAGAUAUAAAAAGCUUGGCAUCUCUGUCUCCGUUUUUCAUCUGUGUCUUUUGCUUCAAGUCAAGCACCUUGGAUUCCAGGAACAACAAUUCUGAUCCUUAAAGAUCUUGUGAUGAGUGGAAACUACCCCAAGGCAGGAGCAACUUGACCAGGCCUUGCGUGAUCAGUGCUGAGAUAAUAAUGAACCAGGCCAUAGUGUGACAAGGCUGCUUGACCAUGCAUACAUCUGGUCACCUUUGCCUUCCCAUUAUAGCUAUAUGAUUAAAGUUCCCUUCCUGCAUUGCCGUGUGACUAGAGUUCCUUUCACACUUUCACCAUUACUUUUCCUCUUGGUUUUUAGAAUGAGCAGCUAGACUUGAGGUUUCUUGGGCCCCCCAGAGUCAGGCCUCUGGACCAGGACUCCAGUAACAGUCAUACUCAACCUCAUGUUUUGCCUUACACCCCAAAAGGCAUCCAUGUCUUACUUGAGCAAUAGUUUAACAAAACCUUUCCCUUAACCCAAACACACUCUUUUCUGGCCUCCCAUGUUUGUGCUUGGCUUGCCUCUACUCAUCUGGCAAGACUCUGUUCAAAUUUCACUCCUAAUUUAAGGCAUUCCCUCAGUGACUUGACCACACUAUAUAGAUCUCUUGAGAUUUGCUGCCGUUGUAUCUUGGACUUUUUUUCCUUUCAAGAGCCUAUCAUAAUUAUUACAUAAGUGUAAGAAUAUUAUUGAGUAUUUAUUUCCUUGCUGGACAGUAAGCUGGAGAGCAGGAAUUAUAUUCAUCUUAUUCUCCACUAACUUCCUAGGACUCUGUGAUUGCCAGUGGGCCCGGGGCCCUCAAUACGUAUUUGUUGAAUCCAUGAAUGAGAGGAAAAAGGGAGAGAAGAAAAGAAGGAGGGAGAGAAGGAGGGGAGGGAAUAAAGAACCAGGGGUUUAAUGUUUCUUCAUGUUUGCCUGAAUCCUGCUGAUACUUCUUGGUCUUACUGGACUGAUCUUGAUUAUUUUUUUGCUUUUCUAAAGAUAUGUGUGUGGGAGUGCUCGUAUAUUUCAUAUAUUUUUGAGGCUGGUUUGAUGAGAUGGCUCUAUUUCUAUGUAAUCCAGAAUACUAGAACAAAUCAAAGUCACCUUUGAUUUAAUUUUUUUUCAAAUUACCUAAUUAUCUUCAUGUCUGAAAUACAGGAAUAUUUUUAUUUCAAACUGCACUAAACAUUAAUUGCUCAUUUGGUCCUUAAUCAGCCGCUGGAUUUAACCACAAAAUGUAUAAAUCAUAACAUAUGAACUUGCAUAGAUGUGUAAUCAGGGAUCACAUUUUCUUAUAUUGCCAAACAUUUUAAGAACCUUUACUUAGUUUUCUCCCAGCUUUCAUCUGAUGAGCCCACCAUGUGUUUUGUGACAUAAACUAGAAUGGAUCCAGAAACAUUACAGUGAUUAGAAACUACAGUUACACACUGUUGUCGACAAGGAGUUGGACUUGCCCUUGAAAAUGGCAGCACAAGGAAGAGUGGCUCAGGCUCCGGGUCUUUCAGGGACUGACAGGACUUGGGUGGGUAGGUAGGUGGGGUGCUUGAGCCUUGGACACCUGAAGAAACUACGAGCCCCUCUGGUAAAGAAAAACAAGAAAACUUUGUUCAUUGCUGCUAUCUUAGAUCUGGUUCCCCUAGAGCAAAUGCUGAGGUGAAGAUUGGUGUUCAAGUGGUUCAGGAAAUGAGCCAGAUUUCAAAGCAAAGCCAUGAAGGACUGAAUACCAGGCACAGGUGCAAUCUGAGGUGAGGUCCCAGCCUCGGCUCACAGGUGUUCUGGAACAUUCCUUACACUGCACAGUCUGCCCCACCGAGAGGCAAGAAGUCACUGGGUCUUCACACUUGUGCCCCAGUCCUGAGUCAUGACCUUGGCUACAGGUCAUGCUGGGGACCACUUCAGCUGUCAGAGAGUAGAGGCAAAUUGGUUCCAUUUUCUCAUGGGUCCUCUGAGGUGGGUUUCAAGUAAGAACUGUUAGGAGCAAAACACAAGCAGAAGUUGUGGACUAAGAGCCCAGAAACAUCAGCCGGAUCCAGAGGAAUGGGGCGGAGCAUCUACACCAUCAGUUAUAGUUUCCCCUCCAGGCACAAGCCUCUGAAGUUUUUAUAUUUUAUUGACUUAACUAUAGGAAAAAAUAUUAUCCCCUCUAACCUUGGCCCUCUGAGGAUCAAUGCGUUAGUAGCCUCCCCAGCUUUUCAUCUUUAAUAAGCAGUGCUGCUGUCACAUAUACUAUUCUGAAAUAAUUAUCCUUGCCAGCCUCUUUUUCUCAAGAACGUGUCCUAUAAUUAAUAAAGAAUUAUAUAUACUCUGCUUUGCGUGUCAGGUCGUGGAACUGCAUGUAGGUCAAUACCUUGUUAAUAAUGAGCAAUGGCUUAUAUUCCAUGUCAGGAGCUCCGUGUGGAACAGAUAGACGACACAUUCUGCUGACUCUUUGGAAGGGCCUAAACCACUGGUCAUCUUUUAGCUGCCUUCUAAUUUUCCCUUCUAGAUUUAUUUAAUCAAGGUAAAGAAUAAUUCAAAAUGGAGAUAGUUCCCAGGACUCACAGCCACAUUAGCAAACGUGGUCCAUGAAGGGGGACUUUGUUACCCUUGAAAAAUGCUUAUGCUGUCUAUCAGAAUUAAUGGAGGUCAUUGUGCCUGUGAGACCUACCCAAGGUGGAGAUGUGAUCCUUCAGAAUUGAGCUCCCUGUUAAAUUUAAAAUACUCUGUAGGAGGUUUGGAAAUAUAUACUUGCUUUUGGGAAUGUCUUUCCAAAAAUUCAUUUCCAAAAUAGGAUUGGAGUUAUUCUUAAAAUAAAAUCCCAGAUUUACUGUUUUUUAGGAGAUGGUUGUCUGCCUGCUUUGUUUCCUCUCUUUAUUUUUAUUUUACCUUGCCUUUUAUUUAUCAGUCAUUUAUCGAGUGCCCACUGCGGGUCAGGCACAGUGAUAGUGGAUAGUUGGGAAUAAAAUAUAGGAAGUCUCCCCUUAUUGAAGUUUUCAUUCUAGAGAUGGAGACCAAAAUUAAGUGCACACACUGAAUUUAUAAUCCAUGGAAAGUGCUGUGGAGGCAAUGCAGUGAGCAGAGGCAAGAGAGCAACCACAGAGGCCACAGCAGGUGGGAGGUGUCUUUUGGGAGGUGCCCCUGGGAGAAGGAGCCAGUUAGUUCUGCAACAGUCUAGAUGUAGAAUUUUCUGGAUAGAAGGAAUAAUGAAUGUGGAGCUCUCAUGUCAGCAACUAGCUGGAUGUGCUACAGAGAAGGUGGCCAGUGUGGCUGGAGAGGCACAGGGGGAGGGUGACCAUGAAGCCAGAGAGGACAGCAAAUACCAGCUUAUUCGAGACCCCAGAGCCCACAGGGAAGAGACGGAUUUUGGAGAAUUCUUUUGAGGGUUUUAAGUCAAAAAGUGACUUGAUCUGAUUUAUCUUUAAACAGAUAGUUGCCUUCUUUGCUGCUGGAUGAUAAUGUGAGUAGAAGCAGAAAGACAGGUGGACAAGGGCAGCAGACACAGUGGCCAGGGAUGCCAUGGACGCUGCAGACACUUUAGAGAGGGACACAGGACAUCAAACUUUGCUUGGCCUUAAAUUUCCUGUCUGAAAGAUGGGGAUGACAUUCACGUACCUGCCACACUGUGUUCUCAUGAGGAUUAAAUGCAUCAAUAUAUUUUUAAAAAAUGUUAUUGAGACAAUGUUUGUACAUCUUUAUAGGGUUUAUUAUUGUUAGUUCAAUGUAUGUGUAUAACAUGUGAUGACAGGAUAAUAAAUAUUUCUCUUGGAACACUGAUCUUUUUUAUGGACUGGAAAUUUCAUACUCUUCUAGUCACUUUGAAAUAUACCAUAGAUUGUUUAAAUCAACUAUUAUCCUACUGUGCUAUGGAAGAACCUGAACUUAUUCAUCUUCUGAAUAUUUUCUAUCUCUUAUAUACUUUAUUUUCAUGUUCCCUUGCCUCUUGAUCUUCCCCGUCUCUAGCAAUCACUAUCCAUUUCCUUUUUCCGUGAGAUUGACUUUAUUAGUUUUUACAAAUGAAUGAGAACACGUGGUAUUUGUCUUUAUAUACGUGACCUAUUUCACUUCACAUAAUGACCUCCACUUCCAGCCAUGAUCUUGCAAAUGACAGGAUUUCAUUCUUUUUUUUGAAUACGUUUUUUUUAGUUGUAGAUGGACAUAAUACCUUUUUUAAAAUUUAAUUUGUUUAUGUGGUACUGGGGAUCGAACUCAGUGCCUCAUGCAUGCCAGGCAAGCACUCUAUCACUGAGUCACAACCCCAGCCCCAGGAUUUCAAUCUUUUGUGACUGAAUAAUAUUCCACUGUGUGUGUGUGUGUGUGUGUGACAUUUUCUUUAUCCAUUCAUCUGCUAGUGGACACCUAGGUUGAUUCCAUAUUUUUGCUAUUGUAAGUAGUUAAAAGCAUUAGUAUUCACUUCACAUAAAUUUCUCCUAAUAAUUUUGUGUAAAUAGUAAUACAUAUAUGUCUAUUAUCUUCUGUUACUCUUAUUGCAUAUAGAAGGGACAAAUCCAGGAUGACAGUUGGGCUGAAGACUGAACAAUGCAGCCUGCUGUCUGUGGGCAUGGUAAUAUCUGGGAUACUUUAAAGAUGAGGAGGCUCUUGAUCUAAUUGUGUUGCUUUUCAAGCUGAACACAAGCCAAUAACUUGCUUAACUUUGUCUCACCUUGCCUUAUCUACACAUGGGGCACAUAACGACUACCCUUCCUAUAAACUUCCAGUGAAGAUACUGUGCUAAUUAGCUUUGCAUCACUGUGACCAAAAUAUCUAACAAGAACAGCUUAGAGGAGGAAACAUUUAGUUUGGCUAGUGGUUUUAGAGGUUUAGGCCAUGGUCAGCCAACUCCAUUGCACUGGGUCCAAGAUCAUGGCGGAAGGGCAUGAUGGAGGAGCACUUCUCGAUUCCUAGUGGCAAGGAAGCAGAGAGAGAGGUUUGCUAGCUACAUCCUACCUGCCUAUAGUCACCACCCAGUACAAUAGUCCUUUCAAACCAUUAAGCCAUCAAAUGGAUUAAUCCACUGAUUGGAUUAUGACUCUUAUAAUCUAUUCAUAUCACCUCUAUUUCUGAAUUUACUCACACAUGAGCUUUUGGGAGAUGCCUCAUAUCAAAACUAUAAACAGAUACGAAGUUAAACUGCACAUUAAAUCUAACAGUCUUUGCAUUUCUCAAUAGAGAAGUUAUUACUUUUAUCACAAAUGAACAAGGCAAGAAUGACUGACUUAUGCAAAAAGGGACAUGGUUUUCAGCCUAUAGUUGAUGCAAUUGAAAUCUAAGUGUCCUGCUAUUUAUGUUUGUUUCUAAGGUGAUGUGUAAGCAAGAACAAAAGAAAGAGGGAAAUGGUUGCUGUUGGAACAUUGUCUGAUAAGAUGGUCAGACAGGAGGAAAGAGGAGUAAGAAUUGGGGCAGAAAGGACAGCAUCUAAUGUAACAUAUAGAGGUCUUCUUUACUCUGCACAUAAAAAGAAUAAUGUGGAUACUAUUUAAAAAAAAAGUUCACGAGUGCAGAAAUCACUUUCAUGAACUCAGAAAAGAAAUUUUCAAUAAAUGACUUUUUAUUCUUGGAAUCUGGAACCCAGGUUUAAAUCCUGGUUCAGUUUACUAACAAUUGUAAGCAUAUGAUUUUGGGCUAACCACUAACUUUUCUAAAUCCUAGCUUGCUUCUCAACAGCAUUUCACCUCACAGUGUUGUAGGAAGAAACCAACAAAGACCAUAUAUGAAAAAAAAAUCUUUCUGUUUUUAUUAUUAUUAUUUAUUAUUAAUAAUCAACCAACUGAGAGGGAGCCAUCUGGCUCUUGUCAUUGUUUUCAUUCGAAGGACACUUUAAAGGCAUUGGCCCAGGGAGAAUCAGGGAGUUUUGUUCUAUAAUUCGGAUAAUAAGAGUGUGAUCAUUUGACAAUGUCAUGUAAAUACAGGAUUCAUUUUAGUUUUGCCCUUCAAAUGGUUCUCUUCCUUAAAGUGGCCUGUUUGCAGAAAGAUGGUACCUGUAUCUUGAAUUCUUAUUCUAAAAUGCCUUAUUAUGCAUGUGAGUUUGGGUUAAAGGUGUCAAAUUAGAAUCAACUCCUCCUUCUUUCAGCCAGGGCUGUGGGCAUUGGUGAAGGGAACAGGCUUUUGUCCUCUUGGCUGGUCUGAGUCACAGACCUUGAGAGCCUUCUGAAAUGCAUACAACCAACUUACUCUCAAGAUAGCUUUCAGUGUAGUAUCGCUCCAUUAGAGUGAGAACACCAGGUUCUUUCAGAGCACACACAUCGAAACAAACAAAACCUCCUUCAAAGCCCUCUUCAUCUGUUCUUGCUCUCUCUCCCUUCGUUUGUCCCUAGGGAAGUGUGAGAUCGGCUGGGCCUACUACUGCACGGGAGCAGGUGCCGCUGCCGCCAUGCUGCUGUGCACAUGGCUGGCUUGCUUCUCGGGCAAGAAACAGAAGCACUACCCAUACUGAGGUGGAGCCAUCAGGAGAAGCCGAAGAGAAGACAGGCCACAGGGGCUGGAAGGGGCCAAAACUUCCGGCUACUUCUAAAAGGUGGAAUAGUGGUUCUGAUUCAAUACCGUGCUAAUGAAGGGAAACCCGAUGGAACAAGGAACUUUAUUUAGGAAGGGAGGGUGGUGGGAGGCUGGUGACAGAAAUGGAGAAUGAUGGAGGAAAGAAAAUAUGGACCAAAGGCUAAGAGUUGCAGGGUAUCGGGUGUUUCUAUUCCACACAAUAUUGUCAGCAUAUAUCGCAUACACAUGCAAAGCAAAUCUAUAUAUGCAAACAAGAAUUUUGGUUGCUUUUUUUUUAAUGGCGAGGACUUGGGAGAAUCAAAAGGGCUAGUAGAAACAGUAUUAUGUGGGAAGCAGGGUACCCCACAAACGUUCCCUGUAGGUAAUGCCACUCCUGAAAGCACACGAGCACACACGCAGAUACACAUCCACACAUGCCCACGCAACACACGUAAAUCAUCACAGACUGUGGGGGAGGGGUUCCCUAGUGCAUUACUCCUCUGUUUUCUUUUUACUAUCCAUUGAAAACACAGUAUUAUCCCUUUAUAAAACAUACAUUAAACCUAAUAAAUGGACCAAUAUGCCACUGUAUCAGUAUUUUGUAUAUCCUGCAUAAACUCUUUAGCCACUCCACAUGUUCUCAGUGUUUAUGCAGACUUUUAGAGUUAAGCCUUCAUAUUUCAAUAUUAUUCAAAGGUAUGCAACAUUUCUCUGAGUAGCUUCUGAUAUGAUAUUCUUAUGAAGUCAAGGGGCAAAUUUCUGUCCACUGUAGGAGAGACUUCCGUUGAGGAGGUGAGAGUCAUGAGAGACAUUUUCCAAUCAUUAGAUCUUGUUUUCUUUCGUCCAUUAUUGUACUGUGCUGUACCACAUUUAUUUCAAUAUUCAUUUUGUAAAAAAACAAUUAAAAAGUGCUAUUUUGUUUGUAUUUGAAAAACUCUUGUGAAUAAAUUUCUCUCUUUGUUCAAUAGC
rnacentral:lncRNA from 1 species